rnacentral:rRNA from 1 species
CAGUAGCCGCGGGAAAACGUAGGGUGCAAGCGUUAAUCGGAAUUACUGGGCGUAAAGCGUGCGCAGGCGGUGUUGUAAGACUGAUGUGAAAUCCCCGGGCUCAACCUGGGAACUGCAUUGGUGACUGCAACGCUGGAGUGCGGCAGAGGGGGAUGGAAUUCCGCGUGUAGCAGUGAAAUGCGUAGAUAUGCGGAGGAACACCGAUGGCGAAGGCAAUCCCCUGGGCCAGCACUGACGCUCAUGCACGAAAGCGUGGGGAGCAAACAGGAUUAGAUACCCCCGUAGUCCCUGUCUCUUAUAC